rnacentral:sRNA from 1 species
UAUCCAGUGAGCUUCUUGUUGUACGAUA